rnacentral:rRNA from 1 species
GACGAACGCUGGCGGCGUGCUUAACACAUGCAAGUCGAACGGUGAAGGGACCGGUUUUUGCUGGUUCUGGAUGAGUGGCGAACGGGUGAGUAACACGUGAGUAACCUGCCCCCUUCUUCUGGAUAACCGCAUGAAAGUGUGGCUAAUACGGGAUAUUCUGCGCCUGCUGCAUGGUGGGGGUGGGAAAGAUAUUGUUUCGGUGGGGGAUGGGCUCGCGGCCUAUCAGCUUGUUGGUGGGGUGAUGGCCUACCAAGGCGGUGACGGGUAGCCGGCCUGAGAGGGUGGACGGCCAGACUGGGAGUGAGACAAGGCCGAGACUGAUACGGGAGGCAGCCGUGGGGAAUAUUGAACAAUGGGCGAAAGCCUGAUGCAGCGACGCCGCGUGAGGGAUGGAAGCCUUCGGGUUGUAAACCUCUUUCGCCAGUGAAGCAGGCCUGUCCCUUUUGUGGGUGGGUUGACGGUAGCUGGAUAAGAAGCGCCGGCUAACUACGUG